AUGGCCAUGGGGAUCCGACACCACUGCGCAGGGACCGCUGGGGGCCAGCUGGGGCUAGGACCGCAGCGACGGCCCGAGCCCGGGAUACUGCGCGCGGGCGCGGAUGGCACAGGCGAGGGUCCCACUCCCCCGCCUCCCCCCCUCCCAUGGUCUGCGCCAGCAGCGCGGGAGCGCGGCGCCACGGACACCCAACGGGCAGAGGUCCACGCCUUGGAGGCUGAGAUCGCUGCCCUGCGACGGGCGUGCGAGGAACCGCGGGCUGCGGGGGAAGACAGUUGGCGAGCGCAAAAAUCACUUUGAGAAAUGUAUCAAUCAGAUUCUGAAGGAUGGGCCUCUUCAAAAGAUCUGAGAAGUCAUUUUGGACAUUUAGAAUCAGAACUUCGUUUUCUAAGCACAUUUACUGGCAUCAGUAUAAGAAAUUACUCCAUGAAGACAGAGGACCUUACAAACACUGAGAAGAAAGAAAAGAAUAUAAUGAAAGUUCUACAGAGACACAGAUUAUCAGGAAAUUGCCACAUGAUUACAUUUCAACUUGAAUUUCAGAUUCUGGAAAUCCAGAAUAAGGAGAGUUUAUCUUCUGUUAUUACUGACUUCAACAUAAUAAUGGAGCCCACUGAAUAUUCAGAAUUAAGUGAAUUUGUGUCUAGAGCAGAAGAAAGAAGAGAUCUGUUGAUGUUUUUCCGAAGCCUACACUUUUUUGUGGAGUGGUGUGAAUAUCGAAAGCGCACAUUUGAACACUUCAAGGAGAAGUACCCAGCAGCCGUGCACCUCCCAGAGGGGGCCGCCUCCAGCUGCAUGGCGGUCCGGAGCGCCUGCCAGCCAGGGUUCGAGCUGGUUAUCGUUUGGAGGGUGCAGAUAGAUGAAGAAGGGAAGGUUUUGCCGAAGCUGGAUCUUCUACCCAAAGCGCCACAGCAAGCCCUGAAGCUGGACUGGAACCGAGUCCUGGAGACCACGCCUCUCAGCUUCCGAGCCCUGAUGGGCACACUGGGCAUUGAAGCCGCCCUCGAGAGCCUGAUAAAGUCGCUCUGCACAGCAGACUACGACUAGUUCCGGGCAAACACGCAGGUGUGUGAUCUUCUUCCGCAUAAACAGUUUCUGUGUUCCACAGAGAAACAACAGCUUUAGGACACAUCUGUGCAGUUUCAGCACAUUCUAUAUAAACUGUCGGGACAUGGAAAAAUAAA